AUUGAACGCUGGCGGCAGGCCUAACACAUGCAAGUCGAGCGGAUGAAGGGGGCUUGCUCCUGGAUUCAGCGGCGGACGGGUGAGUAAUGCCUAGGAAUCUGCCUGGUAGUGGGGGAUAACGUCCGGAAACGGGCGCUAAUACCGCAUACGUCCUGAGGGAGAAAGUGGGGGAUCUUCGGACCUCACGCUAUCAGAUGAGCCUAGGUCGGAUUAGCUAGUUGGUGGGGUAAAGGCCUACCAAGGCGACGAUCCGUAACUGGUCUGAGAGGAUGAUCAGUCACACUGGAACUGAGACACGGUCCAGACUCCUACGGGAGGCAGCAGUGGGGAAUAUUGGACAAUGGGCGAAAGCCUGAUCCAGCCAUGCCGCGUGUGUGAAGAAGGUCUUCGGAUUGUAAAGCACUUUAAGUUGGGAGGAGGGGCAGUAAGUUAAUACCUUGCUGUUUUGACGUUACCAACAGAAUAAGCACCGGCUAACUUCGUG
rnacentral:rRNA from 1 species